GGAUGUGAGGGCGAUCUGGCUGCGACAUCUGUCACCCCAUUGAUCGCCAGGGUUGAUUCGGCUGAUCUGGCUGGCUAGGCGGGUGUCCCCUUCCUCCCUCACCGCUCCAUGUGCGUCCCUCCCGAAGCUGCGUGCUCGGUCGAAGAGGACGACCAUCCCCGAUAGAGGAGGACCGUUCUUUGGUCAAGGGUAUAGGAGUAGCUGCGCUGCCCUGCUAGAACCUCCAAACAAGCUCUCAAAUAUAUAUUUUUAGUGCCUUCUCAAAUAAAAAGUAAACAAUAUAAAAAAUAAUGCUUUGAUUUUCUACUUU
rnacentral:snRNA from 1 species